UUGAACCUGGUUGUAGGAUCUCUAGUCCCCAGGUUGAGUUUCGUCAUUUAUGACUCAAGGAUUUGUAGACUUCAAUCUCAUCCCCCUCGAUGUGCUUCAGACCUUUUCUCUUGUUAAGGCCUUCGUAAGAGGAUCUGCAAAAUUGUCACAAGAUUUGACAUAAUCAACAUUAGUGGUACCAUUUGUCAAAUACGAUCUUACAUUAUUGUGUUUCCUCCUUAUAGGUCUGGAUUUACCGUUGUAAUAAUGAUUUUAAACUCUACCAAUUGCAGUCGUGCUAUCACAAUGAAUAAAAAUAGGAGGAAUUGGUCUUUCAAAAUAAGGAGUUUAAAACAACAAAUCUCUUAACCAAUUCGCUUCCUCACUAGCUGAAGCUAAAGCAAUUAGUUCAGCCUCCAUGGUAGAGAACAAUUAUAGCUUGCUUUUUUGAUCUCCAACAAACAGCACCACCACAUAAACUAAAGACAUAACCAGUGGUAAAACAAGAAUCACCUGACAAAGUGUUCCAAUAAGCAUCAUAAAAGCCUUCAAGUAUAGCAGGAUAUUUUUUUAUAGAACAAACCACAAUUUUUUGUUCCAAUUAAAUAUCUCAUAACUCUUGUUAUAGCAUGUCAAUGUUCAUUACCUGGCUUGCUUGUAAACCUUUCAAGUACUCCUACUUCAUAUGCAAUAUCAGGCCUAGUGCAACCAGUCACAUAUCUCAAACUUCCGAUUAUACUAGCAUAUUCCUUUUGAUUUAUUACAUCAUAUUCACUUUCAGUAAUAAAUAAGCGAACACUUGAAUCAAAAGGACUAGCAACAUGCUUGCAAUCAUGAAAGUUAUAUUUUUUCAAAAUUUUCUCAACGUAAUGUGACUGGUCAAGGAAAAUCCCCUCACAUGAUAUUGUUAUUUUUAUUCCAAGAAUAAAAUUUGCCUCACCAAGAUCUUUCAUAUCAAAAUGGCCUCUAAGAACAUUUUUAGCUUCAUCAAUAACAUUCAUGUUAGAUUCAAAGAUCAACAAAUCAUCAACAUAUAGGCCAAUGAUCAUAUGUGAAUUAUUCCAAGACUUAUGAUGUAUGCACUUAUCAUACUCAUUUGUUUUAAAAGAAUUUUCAAUCAUGCAGGAAUCAAACUUUUCAUGACAUUGCUUUGGUGCAUGAUUCAAGCCAUAUAGAGAUUUAGUAAGUUUACUUAUUUUGUUUUCUUGGCCUACUUUAACAAAACACUCAGGUUGGUCCAUAUAAAUUUCUUCAUUUAGGUCUCCAUUUAGAAAAACUGUUUUUACAUCCGUUUGAUGAAUUUGCAAAUAAAAAAUUGCAGCCAUAGCAACUAAAAGUCUAAGGGGUGUAAUUCUUGUUACCGGAGAAAAAGUAUCAAAAAAUUUUAGGCCUUCUAGUUGUUUAAAACAUUUUGCAACUAGCCUAGCCUUAUAUUUAUCAAUAGAUCCAUCCGGUUUCAUCUUUUUCCGUAAGACCCAUUUACAACCAAUUAUUUUACAACCCGGUGGUAAAUAAACUAACUUCCUAGUUUUAUUUAAAAAAUUAGAGAUAUCAUUUCAUCAUUUACAACCUCUUUCCAAAAAAUAGAAUCAUGUGAAGAUAAUGUUUCUUUCAAAGUUAGAUGGUCAUCUUCAACAUUAAACACAUAAAAAUAUGGACCAAAUUCUUUUUCCACUCUAGCUCUUUUACUUCUUCUUAACUCAAAAUCAUUAACUUCUUUAUUUUUCAAAGUAGAAGUAGAAAAACUAGGUAGUGACAAAAUAUUUUGUUCAAUUCUUUGACCCCCACUAUUUUUAGUAUCAAAAGGAAAUUUAUUUUCAUGAAAUUAGCAUCACCUGAUUCUAUCACAAUAUUAUCUUCAAGAUUAAAAAAAUCUAUAGGUUAUACCAUUUGAAGAAUAACCAAGAAAAACACAAGUAGUAACUUUCUUACCCAACUUUGUAAUCUCGGGAUCCAUUGGCCUCACAAAGGCUAGACAACCCCAAACUGUUAGAUAUUCAAACAUGUCUUGUAACCUUUACACAAUUCAAAAGGUGUUAGUUUUGACUUUUUUUUAGCACAUGAUUCAAUACAUAACAAGAAGUUUAGAUAGCUUCACCCCAAAAAUUUAAAGGUACAUAUGACUCAAUAAGCAUGGAGAUAAGUUUUAAAAUUUGCAAAAGCAUCACAUUUAUUUUUCAUCAAGUAAACAUAUGUUAACUUAGAAAAAUCAUCAAUAAAAGUGAUAAAAUAUCUAUUACCUCCACGAGUUAGAAUUCCACCAAGUUCACAAAUAUCAGUAUGAACUAAUUCUUACAAAUCAGUUUUUGUUUCAACUUGAAAAUGAGUUCUUUUAGUGAUACUGGUUUUACUACAAGCCUAACACUUUGGGAUUAAACCUAAACUACUCAUGAUUCUAACAUAACGAUCAUUAAUAUGACACAAACGAGCAUGCCAAGAAAAUUAGUAGACGAAAACAUAUAAGCAGAAGUAGAAGUUUUAUUCAUUUGAACAUUCAACUUAAACAUCAUAUCACAUACAUACCCCUUCCCCACAAAAAUAUCUUUUUUCACUAUUACAUAUUGAUUAGAUUCAAUAAUCUUUUUAAAGUAUGCUUUAUUAAGAAGAAAACUAGGCAUCAAAUUUUUUAUCAUAGAAGGAGUAUAAAGUACAUCUUUCAAUGUUAAUAUCCUUCCAGAAGUAAAACACAAUUCAACAUCUCCCUUUCCAAGCACUUGAGUAGUGUGACCAUCACCAAGCAUAAUGGUUUGGGCUCAUCAAAAUGAGUAUUUUUUUUAAACCAGUCUUUGUCAUAACAGACAUGACGGUUUGCACCAGAAUCAGCCCACCAUCCAUCAACAUUCUCAACCAUGUUUAUGUCGGUAAUCACCGCCACAAAAGGUUCUUCGGUAACUUUUGCCUGAGGGUUAGGAUCACGUUUAUGGAAUCUGCAAAAUCGAGCAAUAUGCCCACUCUUGCCACAAACAAAGCAUGGUCCCUUUUCUUGAACUUGUUGAUUUUGUCCUUGGUAAUUUUCACCAUUAUUUUUCUUGGGAGGUCUAACAUUAUUUUUCUUGAAUUUUUUGUUCUUAGGCUUUAAAGAAGUAUUUUUGUGAGUUUCAGGAGUAGCAUUCUUCAAAGUAAUUAAAUUUACCUUCGAUGAGAUGUUGUUUUCUUCUGUUUGUAAAAGCGCAUCUUGUCCCCUUGCUUCUUAUUCCAUGCAGAUUUUCAUUAUCAAGGUUUAAGAGAGGUUUUCUUUUGUUUGUAACGCAUAGUUUUCUGAAAUUCCUUCCAAGAAGGUGAAAGUUUAUCCACUAUGCCACAAACAAUAAGGUUAUCUCCAAUUUUAACCUCUUCGGACCUAAACUCUCCAUAAAUUAUGACGAAGUCUUGAGCUUGAUCUACCACUUAUUUGUUGUCCACCAUUCGAAAAUGAAAAAAUCUAGCUGCAUAUUUUUUCGCUUCAGCCUCUUCGGUAUCAUACUUACUCAACAAUGCCUUCCAAAUUUUCUUUGCACUAGAGUAAGUUCUAUCAUAAUAAUCAUAAAAAUUAUAAGAUAGACAAUUAAGUAGAUAAUACCGACAGUUAAAUAAAUCACCAUCGUACUUUUGCACUUUCUCUAGAUGAGAAAUAAUUUCAUCAUCAUUCAUAGUGGUGAUGUCUUCUUUAUUUGGAUUCUUCUCGGUUAAUACAUAAGAAACAUUGAGAAGACUUAAGUAGAAAAGUACUUUACCCUUCCAUCUCUUGAAAUGGUUACCAUUGAACCGAAAUGGCUUGUUAAGGUCUCCCAUCUUGACAUCCACGAUUUUUUCAAUUGUAGUCCUCUUUGAAUCUCCUUAAAAUUGUUAGUGAAAAACACACUAGAUAACAAAAAAAAUACAAGAUUACAAUUGAAAAUAAAAAAUGAAGAAAAUUAAUCUCUUCAAGAUUAAGGCGCGGAUAUCUCUCUCUUAAAGGAGAUUCAAGCCUACUACAACCAAUGUUUUCACCGGUCCAGCAGUAGUCCUCUUGAUUUUUCCUCUCCAGAAAACAACAACCUUCACAAAUUAUAACUCAACAACUCUGGACAAGAGUUGAGUCCAAAGCUCCACAUAUUUGAACACCUCCCUUCAACUACUAAGAACUCUCUUUUAGACUAUACUUUCACUUUAUGUUUUUUAUCUUGUGUAUUGUGUGUCUCAAACCAAAUAAAGACCACCACUAUUUAUAGUUGUGGAUGUCUUCCUAGCAAUAAAUAGAAAGAUUAUUGUGUAGUAAAUAGUGUAUAUAAUGGUCUUAGGAGUUACAUAAAUUACAAGGAUAAUGGAGGAGUUAAGAGUGACAAUGAAGUUAGCACAAAUUGUUAGGUAGUGGAGCCUGAUUAAUUUUACGUUUUCCUAUUUAUUCUCUAUUUUAGGCUUUCAUAUUUAUUCUCUAUUUAUUCUCUGUAACAAAAAAUACUCUGAUUUAUUAAUAUAAAUAUACCUCACCGCCGUGGAAGUUUACUCACGGGGUGUUACCACGAAAUAUUGAGUUUUCUCUUUCUCUCUCUAGAUCUCUCAUCUCUUUCUCUUAAAAGUUCUUGUGUUCUUCAUUCAUCUAGUGUGUGUGCGAGAAUUCAAUCCUAAAAAUUGGUAUCAGAGCUAAGGAGAUUCAACACGAUCACUGAACAUGGAUAGUUCGAAGCUUGGAAUCGAGAAUUUUGAUGGAUCCGAUUUUAGUUUCUGGAAGAUGCAGAUCGAAGAUUAUCUGUACUAGAAAGAUCUUCACGAACCGUUGACCGGGGUGAAGCUGGAAUCCAUGAAGGAGGAGAAGUGGAAACUUAAGGAUCGUUAGGCUCUAGGGUUGAUCCGGUUGACUUUGUCAAGAAACGUGGAGUUCAACAUCGUGAAGGAGAAGACUACGUUCGAUUUGUUGAAGGCACUGUCAAACAUGUAUGAAAAACCAUCUGCUAUGAACAAGGUAUAAUUGAUGCGUAGAUUGUUUAAUUUACAGAUGUCUGAGAAUGGAUCCGUUUCUGAUCAUAUAAACGAGUUCAAUAUGAUUGUGAGUCAACUCAAUUCUGUGGAUAUUAAUUUUGAAGAUGAAAUUAAGGCGUUGAUUUUGUCGUCAUCUCUGCCCGAGUCUUGGGAUACUGUUCUUGCUACGAUUAGAGUUCCCGUGGAUCUGAGAAACUGAAGUUUGAUGAAAUCUGUGAUGUUGUUCUUAGCAAAAGUAUUCGCAAACGAGAAGUGGGAGAUUCACCGGGCAGUGCUCUCAGCGUUGAUCGAAGGGGGAGAAAUAAUACAAAAGGCCAAAUCAACAUGGUCGAUCAAAAUCAAAGAAUCGAGGAAAAUCCCUGAAUAGAUCAAACGUGACUUGUUGGAACUGUGGAGAAAAAGGGCACUUUCGGACGAACUGUACAAAGCCAAAGAAGAAACAGAAUCAGAAAUUUGGAGAUGACAAUGAUUCUAUAAAUUCAGCAGAGGACAUUGGGGAUGCUCUAAUCCUUAGCGUGAACAGCCCGGUUGAAUCAUGGGUUUUGGAUUCUGGUGCAUCUUUCCAUUCAUCUCAAAGCAAGGAGUUGUUCCAAAAUUUCAAAUUUGAAAAUUUUGGAAAAGUAUAUCUUGCUGACAAUAAAGCCUUAGAGAUUGAAGGAAAGGGGGAUGUUUGCUUAAAGACCACCUCGGGAAACCAGUGGACAUAGGAGGAUGUCAGAUAUAUUACUGGGAUCAAGAAAUAUCUGAUCUCUGUUGGUCAGUUGGAUAGCACGGGAUAUGCAGCAGAGUUUGGGAAAGGUUCGUGGAAAAUUGUGAAAGGUGCUAUGGUAGUAGCUCGUGACACAAAAUCUGGAACCUUGUACACCACUACAGGGUGUAUAAACAUGGCCGUUGUUGCUGAAGGUGCUUCUGCUUCAUGUCUGUGGCACAACAGACUUGGACACAUGAGUGCUAAAGGAAUAAAGAUGUUGGUUGCAAAAGGAGCAUUAGCGGGUCUGAAGACUGUUGAUAUGGGUCUUUGCAAGAGCUGUGUUAUGGGCAAACAAAAAAGAGUAAGCUUCAUAAAGACUCCUAGAGAGCCAAACAAAGUGCGGUUGGAAAUGAUCCAUACAGAUGUUUGGGGACCAUCUCCAGUAUCAUCACUUGGAGGAUCCAAAUUCUAUUUUACCUUCGUUGAUGAUUUCAGCAGGAAGGUAUGGGUUUACUUCAUGAAGCAUAAGUCAGAUGUGUUUGCAACUUUCAAGAAGUGGAAAGCUGAAGUUGAGAAUCAGACCGGUUUGAAAGUCAAAUGCAUAAGGUCUGACAAUGGAGGAGAGUAUGACAAAUCAGAGUUCAAGGCAUUCUGUGCAGCUGAGGGAUUGAGAUUGAUGAGAACAGUUCCUGGCAAGGCAAGACAGAAUGAAAUUGCUGAGAGGAUGAACAAAACAUUGAAUGAGUGUGCAAGGAGUAUGAGGAUACAUUGUGGGCUGCCCAAAACACUUUGGGCAGAUGCUGUGUUGCAUACUUGAUUAAUAGGGGACCAUCAGUUCCUUUAGGGUUCAAGAUUCCAGAGGAGGUAUGGACAUGAAAAGAACUCAAGUACUCACACUUGAGGACUUUUGGUUGCACCGCUUAUGUUCAUGGUAAUCCACAAAAUAGAGAUAAGCUUGAUGCCAAUGCUGUGAAGUGUUACUUCACAGGCUAUGGUUCUGAUUUGUUUGGUUACAGGUUUUGGGAUGACAAGAACAGAAAGAUCCUAAGACAUUGUGACGUGACAUUUGAUGAGUCUGUCCUGUACAAGGACAGAAAGCAGAAGGUUCUAGAUACUACAAUGCAAGUGGGAGUUGAGGUUGAGUUGGAGAAGAGUAACCCCAGAGAUGUCGAAGCAGAUACUCAACCAACUCCUACUGAAUUAUUUGAAGUGGAGCAAGUUACACCUGAGCAGGUUUUAAAGAGAUCAUCCAGAUCCAUCAGGGCACCAGAUAGGUAUUCACCUUCAUUACACUAUUUAUUGCUGACUGAUGAGGGGGAACCAGAGUCUUUUGAUGAGGCCCUAGAGGUGGAGGAUUCGAUCAAGUGGGAGCAAGCCAUGGAUGAUAAGAUGAGGUCACUUGAGAAGAACGACACAUAGGUGUUGACUGAGUUACCUGCAGGGAAGAGAGCUUUGCUGAACAAAUGGAUGUUCAGAAUCAAGACUGAACCAGAUGGCAAAAGAAGGUUCAAGGCUCGUUUACUGGUUAAAGGAUAUUCACAAAGGAAAGGUAUUGAUUAUGCUGAAAUAUUUUCUCCUGUUGUGAAGUUAACCUCUAUUCGAAUCCUGUUGAGUAUUGUUGCAUCGGAGAAUUUGCAUCUAGAGCAAAUGGAUGUAAAAACAGCGUUUUUACAUGGAGAUCUGGACAAAGAGAUCUAUAUGCAGCAACCGGAAUGAUUUGUGGUUUCAGGCAAGGAACACAUGGUGUGCAAGCUCACCACGAGCUUGUAUGUAUUAAAGCUAGCACCAAGGCAGUGGUAAAAGAAAUUUGACUCCUUCAUGAUCAAGAGUGGAUUCUGCAAAGCUGAAAAGGAUCCUUGUUGUUAUUUCAAGAAAUACACUGAUUCAUAUGUCUUUCUACUCUUGUAUAUGGAUGAAAUGUUGAUUGCAGGAUCUAGUAUGAGGGAGAUUAACAAUCUGAUGACAAGGUUGUCUGCAGCGUUUGAGAUGAAAGAUUUAGGUCCAGCGAAGCUGAUUUUGGGGAUGAAGAUUUAUCGGGAUAGAUCUGCUGACACUUUAAAUCUAUCUCAGGAGUUGUACAUUGAGAAGGUGCUGAGCAGAUUCAGGGUUAAUGAUGCUAAACCCAGGACUACUCCAUUGGCAAACCACUUUAAAUUGUCAAAGGAUCAGUCACCCAAGACUGCCUAGGAGCGUGAUCACAUGGCGCUUGUUCCAUAUGCUUCAACAGUUGGUAGUUUGAUGUAUGUUAUGGUCUGCACUAGACCUUAUAUAGCACAUGCAGUGGGAGUUGUUAGCAGGUACUUGGCGAACACUGGGAAAGAGCAUCGGGAAGCUGUGAAUUGGCUUCUGAGAUAUCUGAGAGGUACAUCCAGUACUUCACUCUGUUUUGGCAAAGGCAAGGUGACUCUACAAGGUUUUGUGGAUGCUGAUCUUGGUGGGGAUGUUGACUCGAGCAAGAGUACAUCGGGGUACAUUUACACCAUAGGUGGAACAGCAGUGAGUUGGAUGUCCAGGUUUCAGAAGUGUGUUUCUCUUUCAUCUACUGAAGCUGAGUAUGUGGCAAUAACUGAAGCUGGGAAAGAGAUGAUAUGGCUGGCAGAUUAUCUUGAGGAAUUGGGCAAGAAGCAGAGCGAGAAGAUUCUUUACUCAGAUAGCCAGAGUGCCAUACAGUUGGUGAAAAAAUCCAGUCUAUCAUUCGAAGACAAAGCACAUCAGAAGGCGAUACCAUUUCACUCGCAAGGCAGUGGAGGAUGGUGAUAUGUGCUUGGAGAAGAUAGAGGGUGCAAAGUACCCGGCAGGCAUGUUGACGAAAUGUGUUGAUGUUGGGAAACUAAGGUUAUGUAAAACCUCGGUUGGUCUUCUGUAGUUGUUGCUACAAAUGUUGCGGUGCGGUAAAGAUGUUGAUGAUGAAGAGAUUUUUUUUGAGAAUACUGAGUCAGUCUCCAAGUGGGAGAAUUGUUAGGUAGUGGAGCCUGAUUAAUUUUAGGUUUUUCUAUUUAUUCUCUAUUUUAGGCUUUCCUAUUUAUUCUCUGUAACCAAAAAUACUCUGAUUUAUUAAUAUAAAUAUACCUCACCGCCGUGGAAGUUUACUCACGGGGUGUUACCACGGAAUAUUGGGUUUUCUCUUUCUCUCUAGAUCUCUCAUCUCUUUCUCUUGAAUGUUCUUGUGUUCUUCAUUCAUCUAAUGUGUGUGCGUGAAUUCUAUCCUAACACAAAUGCCAUCAACGGCUAAUGCCAUCAAAGGCAUUUUGCAUAACUGCAAUGCAAAUGACAUUGAGAAAUGCAUAACUGAAAUGCAUAUGACAAUGAGAAAUGUACUAAUGCAUAUGACACUAACUCCAAUAGAUUAAUGUAGUUACUCCCACAUUAUGCCAAUAAAUAUCCAUAAACGUAUGUAUAGAUGAAACAAAGAAACGGUCAAUACGACAAUGUAAAUAUGCACAUUUCUUUUAAUAUUAAAUGCCCCCUAUAUUAACACUUUUUAACUUUUGUGUGCAGCUAAAAAGUGUCUAAUAAGUUUAAGCUCACUCCUCUGUUUCUGUUUUGGAAAUGGUGAUUUUUUUGGCAGCAUGAUGUUUAUAUUAUAUUCAUCAUUCACAUGCUAGUCUACUAAACUACUUCCCAUUUAUGCUAAUUGGAAAGCAACACGACAUUGAGCGCAGCGGCAAAUCAACAAUGACUUGUGCACAGAUGAAACGUAAGAACGACCAACGCUAUAGAUCCAAAGUUACAACUAAAGUAACAGUUGAAGAGAAAGUUCAGUGCAUGUUUAUAAUCAGUUUAAGCUUAGAACAAUUAUUUCCUUCAAAAAUCUUUUCUAUGACUUAGUCAAAAUAAUUUGUGAACCUAGAAAAAACAAAAAUUGCAUCAAAAAAGAGAACUCACAUAGUAUAGAUAGAUCAGCUGAAAUAGAAAAUUCGAACAAAAUCUUCAGCAAAUUCGACCAAAAACACUAAUGAAAAAAGAGGAAAACCCAAAUUGGAAGAAGAAGAUACGGAUUCACAAAGCAGAAAUCGGUGUUGAAGUGAAAUCAGUGUUGAAAUCUAAUGGGUCUUAUUGGUAUGAAAGCCUCUAAAUUGAGAUAAGAAUAAGCACCGCUUGGAACAAGAGAAAGGAAAAGACAGAUUUAAUCUUU
rnacentral:lncRNA from 1 species